CAGUAGCCGCGGUAAUACGUAGGUGGCAAGCGUUGUCCGGAAUUAUUGGGCGUAAAGGGUGCGUAGGCGGCUUGACAAGUCUUGUGUGAAAUCUAUGGGCUCAACCCAUAGUCUGCACGGGAAACUGUCGGGCUUGAGAAUGGGAGAGGUGAGUGGAAUUUCCGGUGUAGCGGUGAAAUGCGUAGAUAUCGGAAGGAACACCUGUGGCGAAAGCGGCUCACUGGACCAUUUCUGACGCUGAUGCACGAAAGCUAGGGGAGCAAACAGGAUUAGAUACCCCAGUAGUCCCUGUCUCUUAUAC
rnacentral:rRNA from 1 species